UACGUAGGGGGCUAGCGUUGUCCGGAAUCAUUGGGCGUAAAGAGCGUGUAGGCGGCCCGGUAAGUCCGCUGUGAAAGUCAAAGGCUCAACCUUUGAAUGUCAGCGGAUACUGCCGGGCUAGAGUCCGGAAGAGGCGAGUGGAACUCCUGGUGUAGCGGUGGAAUGCGCAGAUAUCAGGAAGAACACCAACGGCGAAGGCAGCUCGCUGGGACGGUACUGACGCUGAGACGCGAAAGCGUGGGGAUCAAACAGG
rnacentral:rRNA from 1 species